rnacentral:rRNA from 1 species
UGGGGAAUUUUGGACAAUGGGCGAAAGCCUGAUCCAGCCAUGCCGCGUGCAGGAUGAAGGCCUUCGGGUUGUAAACUGCUUUUGUACGGAACGAAAAGACUCUGGUUAAUACCUGGGGUCCAUGACGGUACCGUAAGAAUAAGCACCGGCUAACUACGUGCCAGCAGCCGCGGUAAUACGUAGGGUGCAAGCGUUAAUCGGAAUUACUGGGCGUAAAGCGUGCGCAGGCGGUUAUAUAAGACAGAUGUGAAAUCCCCGGGCUCAACCUGGGAACUGCAUUUGUGACUGUAUAGCUAGAGUACGGCAGAGGGGGAUGGAAUUCCGCGUGUAGCAGUGAAAUGCGUAGAUAUGCGGAGGAACACCGAUGGCGAAGGCAAUCCCCUGGGCCUGUACUGACGCUCAUGCACGAAAAGCGUGGGGAGCAAACAGGAUUAGAUACCCUGGUAGUCCACGCCCUAAACGAUGUCAACUGGUUGUUGGGGUCUUCACUGAUUCAGUAACGAAGCUAACGCGUGAAGUUGACCGCCUGGGGAGUACGGCCGCAAGGUUG